AUUGAACGCUGGCGGCAUGCCUUACACAUGCAAGUCGAACGGCAGCACGGGAGCAAUCCUGGUGGCGAGUGGCGAACGGGUGAGUAAUAUAUCGGAACGUGCCCAGUCGUGGGGGAUAACGUAGCGAAAGCUACGCUAAUACCGCAUACGAUCUAUGGAUGAAAGCGGGGGAUCGCAAGACCUCGCGCGAUUGGAGCGGCCGAUAUCAGAUUAGGUAGUUGGUGGGGUAAAAGCCUACCAAGCCUUCGAUCUGUAGCUGGUCUGAGAGGACGACCAGCCACACUGGAACUGAGACACGGUCCAGACUCCUACGGGAGGCAGCAGUGGGGAAGUUUUGGUACGAAUAGGGCGGCAAGACCUGAUCCAGCAAUGCCGCGUGCAGGA
rnacentral:rRNA from 1 species